UACACCGAGUCACCGACAAUGUUUUUGUGUGUGUGGGAAUAACUUUAGAAUGAUCGAGAGAUAGCGAGAGAGAAAAAGAGAGGGCGAGACGGAGAGCUUCAGUUUGAGAGAGAAAUAGCACGAGAGAAAGAGAGAGAGCGAGACAGAGAGCUUCAGGCCGCGUUCUAUCUAUCUAGGGAUAGAGAGAGAGUUUGAGACUGAAGAAGAGGGAGACGGGAAGAAGUUGAUGGUCGAUUCGAACAGAAAUUGAGUGAACUGAUCAUCCCAGACUAUCAACUCAGCCACGAUCGAGAGAGAAAGAGAUUGGGUGUGUUUCCCGCGGUUCUGGAAAAGAAAGGAUGAGAGGAGAAAUUUAAUCCCAAGGUUAACUCUUUCUAAGGUGUCAGAUUCUUGAAGUAUCAAAUGAUGAAGAGGUUUUUUUUUCCUUUUUUUUAAAGAGGAUCAACAAAUGAUGAAGAGGUUGCCUCACUCUCCGAGAUGUUUACAUCAAAAGUGAAAAGCAAGCGCUAAUGAGUUGUUUUGGCGUUAGCAUGAAUAUGAUUUUCUCCUUUUGCUUAACAGCUUUUGUGCAUAUAUACCUAGAACAACUAUUUUUUAGAAGAUGCUCUUAUGGCUACUGUAACUAAGAUAAGCUAAGAUAGCCAAUUUGUUGGCAGCUGCCAUAGAUAUUGAAAAGUGAUCAUAUUGUACUGUUUUGUCGUUUAUAUUCUGUUUUUUAUGUUUAG